GCCCCGUUGGCUCAGUGGUAAAGCGUAUCACUAGUAAUAAGACACGACAUGAUAAGAUCACUGGUUCGAUUCCAGUACGGGGCA
rfam:Fusarium fujikuroi IMI 58289 draft genome, chromosome FFTJ_chr01